UACGUAGGUGGCAAGCGUUGUCCGGAAUUAUUGGGCGUAAAGCGCGCGCAGGCGGUCCUUUAAGUCUGAUGUGAAAGCCCACGGCUCAACCGUGGAGGGUCAUUGGAAACUGGGGGACUUGAGUGCAGAAGAGGAAAGCGGAAUUCCACGUGUAGCGGUGAAAUGCGUAGAGAUGUGGAGGAACACCAGUGGCGAAAAGCGGCUCACUGGACCACAACUGACGCUGAUGCGCGAAAGCGUGGGGAGCAAACAGG
rnacentral:rRNA from 1 species